GCGAUGUUAGUGCAGUGGUUAGCAUGCCGCCUUCCCAAGGCGGAGGUCAAGGGUUCAAACCCCUUACAUCGCA